rnacentral:rRNA from 1 species
UCAGCCGCCGCGGUAAAACCAGCACCUCAAGUGGUNCNAGGAUGAUUAUUGGGCCUAAAGCAUCCGUAGCCGGCUCUGUAAGUCCUCGGUUAAAUCUGUACGCUUAACGUACAGGCUGCCGGGAAUACUGCAUAGCUAGGGAGUGGGAGAGGUAGACGGUACUCGGUAGGAAGGGGUAAAAUCCUUUGAUCUAUUGAUGACCACCUGUGGCGAAGGCGGUCUACCAGAACACGUCCGACGGUGAGGGAUGAAAGCUGGGGGAGCAAACCGGAUUAGAUACCCGGGUAGUCCCAGCUGUAAACUAUGCAAACUCAGUGAUGCAUUGGCUUGUGGCCAAUGCAGUGCUGCAGGGAAGCCGUUAAGUUUGCCGCCUGGGAAGUACGUACGCAAGUAUGAAACUUAAAGGAAUUGGCGGGGGAGCACA